rnacentral:rRNA from 1 species
CCUACGGGAGGCAGCAGUGAGGAAUAUUGGUCAAUGGGCGCUAGCCUGAACCAGCCAAGUAGCGUGAAGGAUGACUGCCCUAUGGGUUGUAAACUUCUUUUAUAUGGGAAUAAAGUGCAGUAUGUAUACUGCUUUGCAUGUACCUUAUGAAUAAGGAUCGGCUAACUCCGUGCCAGCAGCCGCGGUAAUACGGAGGGUCCGAGCGUUAUCCGGAUUUAUUGGGUUGAAAGGGAGCGUAGGCGGGUUGUUAAGUCAGUUGUGAAAGUUUGCGGCUCAACCGUAAAAUUGCAGUUGAUACUGGCAGCCUUGAGUACAGUAGAGGUAGGCGGAAUUCGUGAUGUAGCGGUGAAAUGCUUAGAUAUCACGAAGAACUCCGAUUGCGAAGGCAGCCUGCUGGACUGUAACUGACGCUGAUGCUCGAAAGUGUGGGUAUCAAACAGGAUUAGAUACCCUGGUAGUC